AGAAAGCGUUGUUUCAGUGUGAAGAAAGAAACAGAAAAAGCAAGGAGAGGCAAAGCUUGUAUGUAAAGCUUGUAUGUAAUGUAAAGAAAUCAGAAGGAAUGAUAUAAACACCAUGUAUAACAAAAUAUUUUCCAAUCCACCACCAAGCUACUGGGUCUUGUCUUUCCAUUCUUUUCAAUCCGGUGUACAUUAUCCAUCCUAUGCAGAAACAAUACAGAAGUUGCACUUACAAACCCAUGCCCUUCCCACUCAUAAGACUCUGGAAACCCAGACCAAGCAGCCAAUUACUUCAGUACACUGCUACACUGUGCUACAUUCUGGCACAGCAAACACACACUAUGCUUCUUUGCAUUUCUUCCAUUUGCCUCAAGGUUUUGUUCUAAUGAGUAAUUCUUCCUGCAAUAAAGUAUUAACAUCUCACAGGAAUUCCCCUGCACUCCCCAAGAAGGGAAAACAUUGUCCAUCUCAGUGUGCUCUGAGCUUAACUCAGACAAGUUUUCCAGUAAGUGCUUUGCAUUUUCAAUAUCAGAACCAGUUAUAAUGGAAAACUCAGAAGCUUAGGGCUUUCCAAAUUGGCUCAGUAAUACCACCCUGCUUCGUGGUAUGUAUCACUGGUCUACCACUCAAGGAAGAGUCAAGAGUUAUUGCUUCACUUUCUUGCCCAGAUUUUGCCUUCUGGCCAACACAUCUGUCUCUCAUCAAGCUUUCUGACCAUUCCAGAAGCACUCUAGAACAUCUCCAGAUUAUCCCACCACAAAAUCUGUACAAAGCAAACAGAACUCCACAUCACGUGCCAUUUACAGCUGCAUUACAUCGCAUCUUUCUCCAUUGCUGCCUGCAGAUCUAAGGAGCAAAUGGCAAAACCACAAAGGACUGAAGAAGGUGCUGAAAACUCAGAGCUGCAUCUCAAAAAGAGAACACUGCCCAGGCUCCUGGUAAAUUCGAGCAUCAUUAAGAAUAUUGCUCCUUUAUUUGAUCUUUGGUGCAAGCUGAGCAGUUCUCUUGAUCCUCCUCUUACCUAAUAUCUAUGUAAGCUACAUUAGACUGGAGCUAACUACUAGCAAAAUUACUGCAGGAUUUCAGGGAUUAAAUCCCAGGGUUCUGCAAAACACAAAGGCAAAUAGAGAUCUGCAUUAUAUUCUCAUUACUCGGCUCUCCCCCCACAAAUGUGAUUCUACUUGGAGUUUUCCAUUUUGAUUUUUGGGAGAACAGCUAAGACAGUGGCAGGGGAAGAGAAAGACGACUAUCGGUGCAAUCAACAGAGACUUCUUUCUUUUAAACCAGGCUGGUAAUUACACUCUUAGUAGGAUGUGGAAUUCUGCUGGUAUUGUUUGAAAGACCUGUUAUGAAAGGUGAUUGAGAAUUGGCAGGAACAGAUUUUAUGUGGGCAACAAUAUGCAUUUGCAGGCUGCAGAUAGGUCUCAUUUGUCUCUCCUAUUUUUUUUUAAUAGAAAAGCAGCAUCCCUGGCAAAAUUACUUCUUUGGAUUUGCUUACAUUUGACAUCCUAAUCCUUCACAGUAUUGUGGAACUUUUGUUUUCUGAUUGUUUUGUAUCUGAAUCUGGCAUAAGGAAAAAGCAAAUAGAACCAAGAGGUGAAAUAAAGUUAUUAUUUCCAGCUAAAGCAAAACUCUCUUAUCAGCAAAAGGAUAAGUACCACAGAUGAGAAGAAUCUCAUAGAAUCACAGAAUAUCCCAAGUCUUAUGGGGCCCAUAAGGAUCACUGAGUCCAAAUCCUGGCUUCACAAAGGACCACCCAAACAUCAGACUGAUUUAUGAAGUCACGGCAUCACUUCAACAAAGCCCAGGUAGUGAAGUAUUUGAAACAAUAACUAAUAACUUUGAGGACGUCAGGGACUCUCUAACAGCGUAUUUCUCUUCUGUCCAGUUUUACUGCUAGAAGUAACAAAGUACAUGGGCAGGGGAUGAACCAGGCAAACAAACCACUGCCACUGAAAAACUUCACAGUUUUCUAUGGACUCUAGAAGCUAAAUUUCAUGACAGACUUACAGAGUUUUAAAACACAAAGUAAGCUUAUGCAUUUUCCCCAAACUGCCUGUUUCGUAUAUGCUUGGCUGGCUAUUUUCAGAUGAUCUCCUUCUGCUGUUCUCCCCUGUAGGGCCAUUCUGAAGAUCUACCCGAUGGGACAACCAGGACAAAGCAGCAUCACACAGCUACAAUAGGUUCAGGAAACAUCUGUGUUCUUAUAUGGCUACAAUGCAGAACUGAAUGUGGACUUAUGUUAACACCUAGCAAUAUUCAUGAAGUGAUCAGGCCAAAUAUUUCAGUUUAAAUACUUACUAUCCAACUUUCCAUCUUCUACUAUUUGCAGUAGCAGUGUUUUCGAUUUGGCACUUAGUUCACUGUAAAAUAAACAGAAGUGUGUUAGGUCUCUGCA